ensembl:lncRNA
CUCCGCAGUAAAAAAGGAGGGUAAGAAUGAGGGCAGCGAGGCGGCAAGAGCUGGCAAAGCAAAUGCUGGCAGUGCAGGGCCAGCGGGCUGUGAACACUGGUCGCCUUCCAGGGGAAUUAUCAAGUGGUGCUGCAUGCCAUGGAAGUGUGCAGCAAUGGGCAGAAGGACCGUGCUGUUCUUGACUCCAGAAGUUUGACUCCACUUGUGGUACAAGAAAACGUUCCUGGAGUUGAGUUUGGGGCAUUAAAACAGGAGUGGGGGGAAGAGUUACUUUCUUUGUCCACCUCCCUUUUGCAGCCACUUCCCUGUGCAAUCUUGGGAAAAUCUUGUCUGCCUCGGUUUCGCCCUCUAUAAAAUGGGAAUAAGUCAUGACAGACCCCUCCUUUUAGAUGCCUGGAUCAAAGGUACUAUAUAAGUACAAAGUGCUCCUUCUAUAGGGUAUUAUUGCCAAAUUCGCUAUAAGCAAUUCCAUUGGGUACUUGAUAACAACAGUAGAAUCAGUCAAACGCCCUUGAUGCAUUCAUCGCAUGGUCCCAGAUACCUUUCAGAGCCUCUUUGUGUGCCAUCCUACCCCCUGAGGUCCACGAGGAUGGGGCUUUUGGAGCCUGGAUUCUGCAGGAGCAGGAGGGGUAUGCUGCGUUAUGCUGUAGAAAUCGCAGGGUCUUCUCUAUGCAGGUGAAAAUGGGUGAGAAGGAGUACAACUGUUGGAUUUGUGGCAGGAAUUUUCAAACGAAUGAAAGCGUAAGGAUGAAAACAGAAGAAAAGUAUUCAGCACGGACACAGUUAAAUAAACAUGCUCUUAACACACACGCACAGGACUGCUGCGGGGGUCAAUGAGAGUAUAUAAUGCAGAGAGUGAGAAGCGAAUGCAACCCUGUCUUCCUGGUUUUCCUGGAGAAACAGAACUAGAGAUGAGAAUGGUUGAGAAGAUGGAAGACAGCUUACCAGACCCUCCUUUGCUCUGGGCUGAUAUAGGCUGCCUGGAAACCCUUAAAAGACGUGCUCCAACUUCCAUUUGUGCUUUCUUCCAUUUUGUAGUAACAAGAACACCCUUUGAAAGGCUGGGGUUAAAAGAGGGAUGUGUUUUAAAGGAAUGCAAAGGAAGAAAAUGCAUUUUUUAUUUUGCACAGCAGUCCAGGCAGCUUUCUGUGAGUGUGUUUUAAUCAUGGCAUGGACGGAUCUGCUUCUGUGAUGCUUUCAUGCAUCAGAUGCUAUCCAGAAGGAGUCAGGCAGGGCUGCAACCCCAAACAUAUGGAAAAAGCUUAAUGAUCAACUGAAAUGGGAGCCGACAUCAUCUGAUUUAAGACAUUUUAGUGCUUCAUCUUUAAGUGUUAGAAUUAAAACUGUGAUGACUCCAUGUUGCCUUCUCCUUCACAUUAAGAAUUUUUCUGGACCGUGUUCAUGUUAUGAUUAUGUAUCUGGGAGUAUCCAUGGCAUUCGCUGCUGUUCGUAAGAAGAAUAUGUCUUCACACAGCCUUUAACAAUGUGCUGAGUGCUAUCAAACGGAACCAAAGUUUGUAGGACCAACUAUUCUUUAUUUUUUGAGAUUUUCUCCUUCUAUUUCUUUCUAACAAGGGAUUUUUAUUUGUCUGGGUUUCUGAAUUCUCACAGGAAGCAAAGUCAAGUAGGUGCGAUCUGCGUUUUCCUCUAAAGGAGAGGAUUUCUGGCCAUAUUGAGUACAGCUAACAACAGUGGAGUUUUAGCUAAUGAAACUGUGAUAUUAUUGAAUACAUUUUGUGUUCUUGUUUGAGAGGAAUAAAAUGGAGCUGACUGGAGACUCUGCAGACGUUAAAGCCCAUUUAUGUGUCAGCAGUAUGAAUUCUGCUGGGUGCCACUUCUUCAGGAGUACUCUUGUAAAAGGGUUUGUAACAUUUCCAAGGGUUGCAGCAUGAAGAAAUUUGAACAAUUGCAUUUACCAGACUCAGUCAACAAGUUAGCUGAAAAACAAGAACCAGGUUCUCAGAAGAGAUUUAUUUAUUUAUUACCAUAGCAAAUAACAUGCCAACAUGAUAUACAGGGCACACACUCAAGACUUUCCUGCUAAAUAUGAGAUUCAGUAACAACCUACACUUCAUUUUUCACACACCAGCAAAUGUGUGCCAACAUGUGAUUUUCUGACUUUGAGAAAGAAAUGAAACCUGGAUAGCAUAUUUGACUUUCAUUUUUUUGAAUGCCUGUAUGUAUUUCUCCCCAGUGCAUACAAGGCCUGUACCAACACCGAAACGCUAACAGACAUGGCAAAGCAAUGCUGUCGCAUACCUACCACUGUCAUUUUACAACAUAUGUGCAAAUGCGUUAAUACCAAGUAAAUCUGAACUGUCAUUGAUGAUGAAUCAGAAUGCACCAUUUCCUUUGUUUAUUAACUCGAAAGAAUACCAGCCUGACUAAACAUUAAUUUCUUUUUUCAGCACUUUGCCCGUGAUUAGUGCCUCAAUGAGAUUCUAUUGUAAUUUAAUUUAUUAUAAGCAAUGUCAUUUUAUCAGUAGCAUGCCACAUGUAUUGCCUGAGAAUUUUCUUAAAGUGUAAUUAACCUUCAAUAUCGCAUGGGUUAGUUAGUGUUGAAGGCUCAAGUGUUGGGGUUGUUUUAACUUGUGUUUUCUUUUAACACCGACCUUUUCAAAUUCCCUCCUAGAUAAUGGGAUAUGACUUUUAAAUGGAAGAUAUAGCUUUCAAAAUGGUUCAACAUAAUAUAAGAGAUAAAACAACUGAGGAACCAAAAAAGCAAAUAGUGUCUCUGACUUAAAAGGAAAACAACUAUCAGUGUCCCCAGUGAUUCUCUAAUUUGGAGAUAUCUGAACAAGACAGGUCUUAAAAGAAAAAACAGCUCUACACCGAACACCAUCACUUCAGAGCGGUGAAUUUCAGCUGGUGCAGAGCAAGAAGGGUGCAGAUAAAUGCUACCCGAUGUAAAGCUUCACAGCCCAGUGUUAACCCAUAAGCAUUUCUUCAGCUAAUAUGAAGAGGAUGGAUGAACUGAGGCUGAAGCGCUCUGCUUCACGUGGCUGUGGCCACUAUGGUCCCACAUUAUCAACCCCAAUGGGAGGAACUGGCUGACAUUGGGGAAGUUCUGAUUGCAAAAGAAGGCUGACGUAUGCCCAGCCCUGAAUGGUGCUCUGGCCACGUUGGCUGCUGCCUGGUUCCCACAGUGCAAACUGAACAAUGCCCCAAGCUGCUGUGCCUUGGAAAAGGUCCUGAGGACCCAACCCAGGCUGGUGACAAAUAUUCAUCAGUCCCCAGAGUCAUUACCGGUCCUGCUUCAUCUCCAAAACUAAAAUGUGGGCCUCUUUGUUUUUAAGGUUUUUUUUGGGUGGAGGAAGGAGAUUAUUUUCUAAAGAUCUCUGAAAAGCCCUCAGCACGUGCCAGAAAUAGGUAUGAUCUCUGCGUCUCAUUGCCAGCUCUCCUGAUUUCACCGACAGCAUUCAGUGCUGUUUGUUUAGUGUUCCCCUCUCCCAGCCUUUUUAUAAAGGAAAGAUGGCUAGAUCUUUUGGUGGUGGAAAUACCUGGAAGCCAUCACUUUAACACAACCCAAAGGCUCAGAUUACAGCAAACAAACAGAAGAAAGACAAGUGUAUUUAUUCAGGCUUUUUAAUCUUAGGAAUUUAAAGCAAAUUUGCUGACCAUUGGAAACCUCAGCCCUGAUCUGCGAAGGCUCAGGGCUGCCAAUACUAUUAGCAUACAUGCUGAAGAGUUUCAGCUGAUAAAGUUGAGUGGUGUGCUAUCUGGUCUGCUCUCUCAAGGGAAAGUCAGGCUGGGGAGAUGAGGUUUGACUUCAUUUACUCCAUGUGACCUUAGACUGCUGCUUAAAACAGUCUGCUCUUUGUUUCUCCAACUGUCAAAUGAAGAUAAUGAUUCUUACCCAUUCUUAGGACUGUGCUUUGAAAUUUAUAAAUGAAAAUAUUAUUUAUAUUCAAGAGGCUCCCAGACAGGGAAAAUGAAUGAUUUCCAUAAAUGCAAUAUAUUUCUUCCAGUCUGGAUCGUCAUACCUAGUUUCUGGCACUCACACAAACUAAGGAUGGGUGUGAGAGGCAAAUACUUCUAAACAUUUUAUAUACAUAUAUUUAUAUUUUAUAGUCUCUCUCUACAGCAGUUAUCUGUGUGUAAUUUUCUGCAUAUACAUAUAUAUGUGUUUGUGUGCAUGCAUGUGUAAUAAAGACAUGGAAAACCACUUGAGGUGAAUGUGAACCUUUCCUGUCUCACAUUUAAGGGGCUGACUGCCUUUGCAACACUCUCAAAGAACAAAGCUAGUAAAUAUCUCUUGUCACUUUAAAAGGUGAAAAACUCUACUGGUCUGUUGCCUAGCGAAAUUUAUACAUUAAAACAUUACCAGUUAAAGUUGUGAUGUAAUGUUUGUUGCAGGAUGAUUUCAUGCCAAAGCAUUUACCUUAGUGCAAUAUUAAACUGCAUGAUUUUGGUUUCUAUCCAAAAAGUAAUGGAGUUUCCCAGGGAGAAGGGGGUAUCAGAUGCCCAGGGAGCUCCAGGGACAAGCCCUCUCUCAAGAAUAACCCAUUGCACCAGACAGUGUGACACUGGACUCUCUAUGAAAGAGUCUGAUAUCCAAGAUGACCAGAGAUCACUCUGUGGGGACCACCACAAGAGCAACAGGAGAAACAGAUGGAAGGACACAAGCUCAAACCUCAGACGUUGCUAAAUGCAUUGGGUGUGAAGAUGGACUAGCUCACAUCCCAUACCUGUGGUUUAUAACCCUGUUGUCAUGUGUUGAGAGCUAGCUGCUUGAAAUCAGUAGGGAUUUAAUGACCAAUGAAGGUAAAACAAAAUAUUCUGCCAGAACGUAGAAAGUAUGCUCUAAGUUUGCUUUGCACUGGAGAAAAGGUGGUGGUGUCCUGGGCUGUGCAAUGAGCAUCCCGCGGUGGGGUCCAGUCUUUCAACUGUCUAUGGGGGGGUCAAAGCAGGAGCCAUAACUGGCCAGUGCCUACCAUCACUAUUGAAUAUCUGCAGUAUCAAAGAGUGGCAGAUCCAUCAGUCAGAGGAUCCAAACAUUUUUGCCUGGCUGAAGUGAUGACGAUCCAUCUCCUGAUGCAAGCCUGGAUAAUGAGGAAGGAGAAGAUGUGAUUUGAAGAGGGGAAGACAGAGAAACUCUCUGAAAGCAACAGACCAAGGGAGACUUAGUACGUUUAAACCCAGCAGAAGGCUGAUCCAAAAAGUAUUUUGAGCAGACUCCCCAACAUUACCAUUAGAGAUUGUGGCUCAGGAUCUCUUGUUUGUGCUGCAUAAUGUUUCAGUGCUCCAGCCAGGCAGAGGUGGGACUGUAAGAUAUUUAGCACUGGCAUCAUGAUGAGACCCUGAGGUGUGCUUCAGGAAAUGUCUGGGCUUUGGCCAAAUAAUACAUGAGACAGUUGUGUAUAUUUGCUACCAGGUUGACUUGUAAUUCCCUGUAUCUCAUUAAAAUUUCUAACUCACUGUAUGUAGAAAUAAGAGAAAUGCACUGAGCCGUCUACUCCAUCUUCUGUCCUGUGUAGGCUUGCUCUCUUGAGUACUACUGCUUAUGUUUUGCAAAUGUAGCCCUAUGUGUAUGAAGAAAUGCAUCCCUUCAUUUAUGAGAGCAAUCGAUACCCUAACAGGCCUGUCAAUAAGUUUUCAUUUUCUUUCACAUUUCUGCCUUUAAAAAUAUCAUCGUACUGCUUGUUAUGCCCACUGGUGUUAAUAACACUUUCAACAUACGUAGAUGCCUAUUGGAACUUCUUCCUGUUCAUUACUUAGCCAAUAUAUAUGUCUUUAGGGCCAGACUUUUACAGAGUUGCCCAUAACAUUUUGCUUUGUAAGUAGGCCUGUUAAGAUAUAGGGGAAAAGGAUGGCAUAUGAACUAAGCUACUCUACAUGAAUAAAACGUGCCCCAAUCCACCCCUAAACUAUUUUAAUCUUUCCUUAAAAGUCAGCCCAGACAACUCCUCAGACACCAUUGUUGCUCUCCACUGAACCUGCCCUUUUAUAUGCUAAUCAGGUACCCAGGAGUGAAUUUAAUAUUCCUAGAGUGGUCACACCAAAGCCACAUGGAGUGGAACCUUUUCUUCACUUUUCCAGGAGGUGAUGUCUUUGAAUGUGCAGCCAAAAAUUUCCCUUUCUCUCUUUUUGCUCAGUCACAUUUAAUUCACUCUCUACUAUCACCCUCAGGCUUCUUUCAGCAUUACUUUCCUCAUUUUCCCUUCUAAAGAAUAACUGAGUUUUGGAUUAUUUUCCCUAGAUGUCUGGGCUAGAAUGUCUUCAAGUUGAGACUCUCUCUGUUAUUUCCUCCCCAUAGGUUAUAUCAUGUCAUCAGCUAUUAAGCACAGUUCUAAAUGUGGAUCAUAAGUUAUGGAUUUCGUUUUCAUUGAUUUUCAAGGAGGAGGAAGGAAUUGACGAUUACUGUCUGAAUUUAAAUUCCACCUCUCUCCUAUCAGCAGCAGAAAUAACGGGAAUUUUAUUUCUUACAGCUUACUGUACAAUGUGUUCUUUCUGAUCACAUAUUUUCACAAAUAUUUGCAGUUCAGAAAUUGAAAAUAUUCUCCCUAAUAGUCCAGAAAAGACAUUUUUUAAACCUUUAUUCAUAGCCAAAUAAGAGGUUGAAAAUGGCAUAUUUAGGGCAUACAGUAAUUAAGUCUCAAGGAAAACAAGUAUGGGAGUACUUUUUAGGACGGCUGUAGGAUUGACUGGGGAGAAAACUGUAGUCCGGUAAUUGCAAUUUAUUAUCAAUUCAGGAGACUAUAUUUGGCUACGGUGUCUGUAAUGCAUUUUAAAAUGAAUUUACUGCUGAUGUAAACUGAAAAAUGCAUCCAAUUGAAUUAUACAUUUUCUGAUAGGUGAAGCAAUUUUGUACAAUUCUUGCGAAAGAUGAAAUACGACACACCGAUGUUGUUGGUUACAAAAGUACUGCAGUGUAAGAAAGUGACUGCCGUGCAGGGAAGAGUUCUCCACUCAUUUAUAUCUACAGGGAAAAUUAAUUAAAGUUGCCCCUGUGAAGCUGAACGCAGUUUGCUGCUCUGCCUGGAUAUAUUUUUAAACACAAAUAAUCCGUGUUUCAGCUCCAUUUUAGAAGGCAGAGAAGUUCCUGGCAUCAAAGUUUCUUCUUCAGAUUGAUUCGCUGGAUUGGAUUGCCUUUCCUCAUGUAAUCAGACUGAUACACGUCCCGAGUUCCUACGCAAAGGCAUUAUAUGAAGAUGGAAAGAUGUAAAUUCACUUGAAGGAGACGACCAAAUUAACAGUGCAUCAGCAAGCAAACCACACCGUGACUGCUUACAAUCUCCCUGCACACAUCGCCCGUUAAGGAACAUUCAGCAGCAUUAAUAAUCAAAUGUUAACUGAAAAAGCUAGACAAGCUAUUGGAUAUUUGGCAUGGCCAAUUGAUGUUCGUUCUGCUCAAGCGUUUGUGAAAUAAACAUUUAUCCUCUGGUG